rnacentral:rRNA from 1 species
CCUACGGGAGGCAGCAGUGAGGAAUAUUGGUCAAUGGACGAGAGUCUGAACCAGCCAAGUAGCGUGAAGGCUGACUGCCCUAUGGGUUGUACACUUCUUUUAUAUGGGAAUAAAAUGUUCCACGUGUGGGAUUUUGUAUGUACCAUAUGAAUAAGGAUCGGCUAACUCCGUGCCAGCAGCCGCGGUAAUACGGAGGGUCCGAGCGUUAUCCGGAUUUAUUUGGUUUCAAGGGCGCGUAGGUGGAUUGUUAAGUCAGUUGUGAAAGUGUGCGGGUCAACCGUAAAAUUGCAGUUGAAACUGGCAGUCUUGAGUACAGUAGAGGUGGGCGGAAUUCGUGGUGUAGCGGUGAAAUGCUUAGAUAUCACGAAGAACUCCAAUUGCGAAGGCAGUUCACUGGACUGCAACUGACACUGAGGCUCGAAAGUGUGGGUAUCAAACAGGAUUAGAGACCCUAGUAGUC